AACACGUGGGUCAUCUACCUUGAGGUGAGGAAUACCGGCGAGAAAUCGCCGACAAUACCGCAUGCCUUUCUUGCAAGAGAAAGAAAGCUUCUUCGGAGGCGCCACAAGAUGAGCCUGCGGCCGAUUAGCUAGUUGGGGGGGUAAGAGCCUCCCAAGGCGACGAUCGGUAGCUGGUCUGAGAGGACGAUCAGCCACACUGGGAUUGAGAACGGCCCAG
rnacentral:rRNA from 1 species